rnacentral:rRNA from 1 species
AAUCAACGCUGGCGGCGUGCCUAACACAUGCAAGUCGAACGCGAAAGCCCCUUCGGGGUAAGUAGAGUGGCGUCCGGUGAGUAACACGUAGGUAAUCUACCUUCGGGUGGGGAAGUAACCAGUCGAAAGAUUGGCUAAUACCGCAUAAUGCAGCGGCACCUAAUGGUGAUUAGUUGUUAAAGCGGGGGAUCGUAAGACCUCGCGCCUGAAGAGGAGCCUGCGGCAGAUUAGCUAGNGG